GCAGGCUCCAGCAGGUCCAUGGAAACAGGACAGACAGUGAGAGCAGGCUCCAGCAGGUCCAUGGAAACAGAACAGACAGUGAGAGCAGGCUCCUGCAGGCCCAUGGAAACAGAACAGACAGUGAGAGCAGGCUCCAGCAGGUCCAUGGAAACAGAACAGACAGAGAGAGCAGGCUCCAGCAGGUCUAUGGAAACAGGACAGACAGUGAGAGCAGGCUCCAGCAGGUCCAUGGAAACAGGACAGACAGUGAGAGCAGGCUCCAGCAGGUCUAUGGAAACAGGACAGACAGUGAGAGCAGGCUCCAGCAGGUCCAUGGAAACAGGACAGACAGUGAGAGCAGGCUCCAGCAGGUCUAUGGAAACAGGACAGACAGUGAGAGCAGGCUCCAGCAGGCCCAUGGAAACAGGACAGACAGUGAGAGCAGGCUCCAGCAGGCCCAUGGAAACAGGACAGACAGUGAGAGCAGGCUCCAGCAGGUCCAUGGAAACAGGACACACAGUGAGAGCAGGCUCCAGCAGGUCCAUGGAAACAGGACAGACAGUGAGAGCAGGCUCCAGCAGGUCCAUGGAAACAGGACAGACAGUGAGAGCAGGCUCCAGCAGGUCUAUGGAAACAGGACAGACAG